AGGACGAACGCUGGCGGCGUGCUUAACACAUGCAAGUCGAACGGUGAUGGGGAGCUUGCUUCUCUGAUCAGUGGCGAACGGGUGAGUAACACGUGAGUAACCUGCCCUCGACUCUGGGAUAAGCGUUGGAAACGACGUCUAAUACCGGAUACGACCUCGGAUGGCAUCUUCUGGGGUGAAAGAGUUUCGGUCGAGGAUGGACUCGCGGCCUAUCAGCUUGUUGGUGAGGUAGUGGCUCACCAAGGCGACGACGGGUA
rnacentral:rRNA from 1 species